UUUAUUAGUCUCCUCAUAACAGAAAAUAGGUUCACAACAAAACAAAAACAUUGAUCGCUAUACGUAACAUUUCUCUUGCUGGUUUGGCCAGUGUCUGUAAGCAUUUUCGAGUGAUGUGCAUUACCUGCACCUGUAUCCCCCUAUUCUGACACUCUUGCCAAAUCUGAAGCACCACUUUGUUGAUGUUGUGUUAAUACCACACUGAAAACUGCUUGUUAGAGAUACAAAUGCCCUGUAGACGGUGGUGAUAUUACAAUCUUGUGUUUUCAGCAAUUUCAGCUUUUGUAAUGAAGGACAGCUGACACUCCACAGACCUAAAGGAAGGAUUUAGCCAGCCAAUUAAGGAAGCCUGCUUUAUAGCGUUUCUAAACAUAUAUACACAUACUUGCUGUAUCUCAUACACCACAAUGUAACAACGUGCAUCUCAUACACCACAAUGUAACAACGUGCAUCUCAUACACCACAAUGUAACAACGUGCAUCUCAUACACCACAAUGUAACAACGUGCAUCUCAUACACCACAAUGUAACAAUGCUGCUUCUCCUGAUAACCUAGUCACACAAGUUAUUUAUGUUAUUUUUGUUUGUCUCCCUCUGAAAUUUUUUUUUAAACUAAAAAACAAUUUUGUUGAACCUGUCAAUGGAAAAUGUGUCUCUUCUUAUGUUCCUGUAAACCCACCUUUUCUAGGCACUGCCUGGAUUACUGGGGCUUCAGGAGAAGCAGCCCGUGAAGGAAAAGGGCUGCCUGGUUCCAAGGGAGACCAAGGCUUACAGGACUUCUCAGGACCAGCUGGCCUCCUUGGAAUUGGAGUCGUCGGACCUAAGUUUUGAAACAAUUAAGAUGAUCACAGUUACUUCUUGCUGUUAAUAAUGGGGGAUUAUAUGUUUUCUAGUGAUGUGUGUUGUAGAGUUAUUGUGCUUUCUGCAUGCAUUAUGCAUACAAAGAUUAAUGCUUUGAGCACAUUAUGCUACAGUCAGUCCUCGUAUUGCUCACAGAAAAGACCAUUUGCAUGAAGCACUGAGGGUCAAGGACUAGUUCCUGUUAAAAUGUUGGUAUGCUAAUUAUUUUUUUUCUUUUCUUAUUCAGGGAUCUGUUGGUGAAGCUGGUUCACCAGGUCCUCCAGGUUUACCUGGAGAGGGUAUACAAGGACCCAAGGGAGAGCCAGGAUUUCAGGGAGUGCCUGGGCCAAGGGGCCCACCAGGUGAAGGCUUCCCAGGAGAGAAGAUUUACUUGCUUAGAAUGGCAGGGGGACUGUGGAUUUUCAGGAGAUCGAGGGAGGCAGGUGAACAAAGGAGAAUUUGGAGAACCAGGGAAUCCUGGACAGAAAGGAGAACUUGGCCUUACUGACUUGAGAGCAAACUACUCAGCAGAAUCUGUGAAAGUGAAGAUGGCGUCCUGUUUAGUCCAAUCCUUAACUCUGUAUUGCCACCUGGUAUUGCCACCACUUCAGACCUUGUCAAAGAGAAACUGAAAAGAUCAGACAAAUUACAGUAUGCUGUCUAGAGAGCCAGGCCCACCAGGUGAAUCAGGCACUCCACCAGGACCCCAGUGGACCAAGAUUGUGGACCGAUUUCAGACCUAAGAUGUGAAGAGAUUUUGGAUCCAGAAACAUGCAGGAGUAUGCUGUUAAAUGGUACUAUGACUCCAUAGCAAAAGCAUAUGCCCAAUUCUGGUAUGGAGGGUGUAAUGGUAAUGGUUACCAGUUUGAAACAGAGUAUAAUUGUAAAGACUACUGUGUUAGAGAAAAAAAAGGUAGAUAUUUUGUGAUAGAAACUCUUGAGGCAUUUUAUGCCAUGUGACUGCCAUGAUAUUUUAAAGCUAGUAAUCCCAGAUUUAGCAGGGUGUGUAAUUGUCAUGUUGAUAGGCCUGUAAUUUAAAAAGGUUGUUAUAAUUGUGUGUUUUUUUAAGUAGAAGUUAUUUUGGUGACAUCAUGUGAAGAAAGAACUGGCUUGCAAGAAAAUUUUUUAACUCCAAAAUGUAAGAUAAUAAUGCUGAUAAGAUCUCCCAGAACAUGCUUCUCUGUCAAGUUUCACAAAUAUGAAUGAAUUAAAGACAUUCUCCUGAACAAAGGUGUAUGUAGCACAGCACAUUCUAUUAUAGGAUGCCAUCAUAAACGUUCAUCUUUUCGAUUACAAAGUUAAAAUCCUUACGUUUUAAAAAAUAAAUCAUACUUACUAAACUAUACACUUCAGUUAACUGUAGAAACUUACACUAUUGUCAAUGUCUAAAUUUUUUCACCCUCAAUUUGAGGGAAAAACAAAACAUCAAAUAAGGAUGCAUUGACAAAGAUACAUGAUGCAUGGAGGCAGUUUGAGGUUGUCUGCUGUCACACCUGUUUUUCUCCCUUUUGUGAACUAUGGUAUUACUAUUACAAAAAAUAUGUUCUAAUAUGAUCAAGCUGGUAUUGUUUGUUAGAACAAAAUCUAAUGACGAAACGUUGAAAUUGUUAAGGCUUAUCUUCAAUAAUUUGAGAUUGUUGCUGUUUGUGUACUUGGGCAGUCACGUCUUUUGUUUUUUGAAAGUGUCCCUCUAGUUUUCAGUGGCAAAUUUAAUUUCUGUGUGUGUUCUUUUUCUUUUUUUUUUCAAUUAUUUUGUAUUCAUUUUCCAAUUUUCUCCCAAUUUUUGGAAUGUCCAAUUAUUAUUCAACCUGGCUCAACACUGCAACCCCUGAACUAACUUGGGAGAGAUUGCACUCCCACUCACUUCCUCCAAAACAAGUGCCAUUGGCUGACUGCUUUUUUUCAUUCUGCAAGCCUGCCGUGCAGCCACAACCAGAACUUACAGCAUUGGAGAACCAUGCGGUUCUGAAUUGUGUACAGGCCAGCCUGCAGGUGCCUGGCCAGCCACAGGGGUUGCUGGUGCAUGGUAAGCCAAGGACUGCCCAGCCAACCUAACGCCUACAACCUAACUCCUAUCCACAGUCAGCAGUGGCACAGCUUGGAUUUGAACUAGCAAUCUCCAAGCUAUGUGAUGUAUCCUGCACUCCAGUGGAAUGCCUUUACCGGAUGCGCCACAAGGGAGUCCCCAUGUUUUUUCUUUUGAAGUGGACGAUUAAAAUAAUGUGAAAUUCUGAAAAUAGAUAUUUCCUGUUAUUCACAAAACGUUAAGUCUCCAAAAUUGAUUAAUCUGACUAAAUCCAAUAUACUAAGGUAAAUAGAACAACUAUAAUAUAGCUAUAAGUCGUCAACUAUGGGGCAGUUGGGUUUUCACAAAUAUUUUUCUGAACAGGAUAUAAGUAUUUGUUUCUGU